rnacentral:lncRNA from 1 species
ACAGCCGCGGGAAGACAUGAGAGGCUGCUAGAAGGACUUCCCGCGGCCAGCGCCAUCACCUGCCCACGCCGCAGGGAGCCCUGACCAGAGCUCCAGACCUCUGGGUCCAACUGCCUUAUGGAUCCCUCUCCCUGAAUGUCACAUAGGAGAGGGGACAGGGGUUGGCCACACACCUGGAAAUGGAGUUCUCUGAUGCAAUGUCCUUUGGGGUCCGGACUGUGGUGAAGGUUCGUCCAGCUCCACGCCCACCCACUGGCCGCUGGCAAACUCCGUGGUCCCACAGAACCGCAGUGUGCCCGUCUGGGGAGAGAAGGGAGGCGAUGGCUAAGGAAGGAAUGCUGGGAGGCCAACGUGGAGUGCCCACACACGGGCAGCAAGAAAAGAAGAGAGGGCAAUGCAACCAUGGAGGCAGAGACUGGAGAGAUGUGGCCACAAGCCAAGCACUGCCUGCAGCCACCAGGAACCGGAACAGGCAAAGAAGAGAUUCUCCCCCAGAACCUCCAGAGGAGUACAGCCCUGCCGACACCUUGGUUUUGGCCCAGGAAAGCCGAUUUGGACUCCUGGCCUCUAGAACUGUUAGAAAAUAAUUUGUCUUGUUUUAAGCCACCAAGUUUGUUAGAGCAGCAUGGGAAACUAAUAGUGUAAUAAAGGGAGAAAUAAGAAUGUCUUUCACAUUUGCUGGUAUUUAUAUAAAGAAACUAUGGUAAUGUGGUUUGGCUCUGUGUCCCCACCCAAAUCUCAUCUUGAACUGUAAUCCCCAUGUGUCAAGGGAGGGACAUGAUGGGAGGUGACUGGAUCAUGGGGGAUGUUUCCCCCAUGCUGUUCCCAUGAUAGUGAGUGAGUUCUCAUGAGAUCUGAUGGUUUAAAAGUGGCAGUUCCCCUCUUGCUCUCUCUCUCUCCUGCCCCCAUGUAAGAUGUUUGCUUUCCCUUCGCCUUGCACCAUGAUUGUAAGUUUCCUGAGGCCUCCCCAGCCAUUCAGAAUUGUAAGUCCAUUAAACCUCUUUCCUUUAUGAAUUACUCAGUCUCAGGUAGUUGUUUAUAGUAGUGUGAGAACAGACUAAGACACAUAGGAAGGACACACAAGAAACUAAAGAGGCUACCAGUGGGGAGGAGGUGGAUGGGAUGAACGGAGAUGGGGAGAGCCAAGACUUCUCAGACAAAGGAAGAUGGAGGUGGAGGGGGCAGGUAGCUGGUGAAAGAGCACAGAAAGGCUGACUCAGAGAACAGCAGUGGCACCCAGAGAGCAGAACCCCAGGGCACACAGCCAGGGAGUCUGGCUGCUGCAGUCAGCCUCCCUCUAAGAUCCCAAUGUUCUCAGCAGCCCCAUUCUUCCGGGACACAAACACAAGAUCUAUUGCAACAGCAUUCCCCAUUCUUAUUGCCACCAUCUCCCAGGCAGAAUCUGCCAAUGGACUACUCGUAUCUACUCUCUGCCUUUUCCUUACUAACAGAACUCCAACUUUCUUUGAGGCCACAAUGUGUCCUGCUAAAAGACUAUGUUUCCCAGGAUCCUUUGCAGCUGGCUGGGGCGUGUGACUACCUUCUGGCCAAGGAAUGCUUUAGUGUUGUGUGGGAUCUCUGGGAUGGUGCCUUAAAUGGAAGGGACGAUCAACAGGAUUCAGCAGCUCAAAGAGCAAAGGAAAAAAGUCAAUAUCCUAAGAAAGGUCUCCUUAAUUGGUCUUACUCUCUCUUGUUCCUCUGGAUAGCAGCAUUUGUAAUGGGCAAUGUUGCUUUCUAAAAAACUACCUUAAGCAGACAACAAGUGUUCCCCUUUGUAUGCAGUCAAAUGCUCUACCACUGAGCUAUACCCCCAUGUUCCCCUUUGUAUAAACUAUUUUAGUCUUGCUGGUCAUCUUGUCCAGAGCAUGGGGUGGCAUAUACUGCUAGAAGUCCUUUUUUUCUUUCUUACUAAUGUAACUCAAAAUUUCUUCAGGCUGAUUAAAUGCCCAGUUUUUAAAGACCACAAUUCCCAGCCUCUUUUCCAGUUGGGGUGACCAAUGAUGAAAAGGUGCCAUUGAACGGGGUUUCUGGGAAGGCCUUAUAAAGGGAGAUGAUUCAGUUUAGACCUGAACGCUUUUUGCUCUUCCUCCCUUCCCUUUUCCUCCUAUAAGGAAUGGUGGCAGUGGUGGCUGGGGCACUGGCAGCCACCUUGGAUGGAAGCCACAGGCCAAGGAUGGAAGCCACAGGCUAAGGAUGACAGAGCAGAAAGAGGCCGGGCAUGGUGGCUCACACCUGUAAUCCCAGCACUUUGGUGGCCAAGGUGGGAGGAUCAUUUAAGGCCAGGUGUUUGAGACUAGCCUGGCCAACAUGGCAAAACCCUGUCUCUACUAAAAAUACAAAAAUUAGCUGGGUAUGGUGACAUGCGCCUGUAAUUCUAUAAUUCCAGCUACUUGGGUGGCUGAGGCAUGAGAAUCCCUAGAACCCAGGAGGUGGAAGUUGCAGUGAGCUGAGACUGUGCCACUGCAUUCCAGCUUGGGUGACAGAAUGAGACUUUCAAAAAAAAAAAAAAAGAAAGAAAAAUAGUGAUAGGACCCCUCAUUUCUCAUGACUGUGGAGCUACUAUCCCAGUGCUGGUUUGCCAACCUCUGUACUUUCUGUAUAUGAGGGAAAAUAAACCCUGUAAUAGAAUGUCUGCUGUCUCUCUCCACAUGAGGAUUACACAUGCCCACUCCAUUGACUUGAGGCUUGCUAUAUACUUGCUCCAGCCAAAAGAAUGCCAGUGAAAGUGACACAGGCCACUUCUAAAUAUGAAAUUGACCAAGAGCCACUGGGUGAUUCACUCCACUUUCUUUUUUCCUCCUCCUGCAAGACCAGCAAUACUCCAAAUAGGGAUAGUUUAUUCAGCCUGAGACCCCAAUUAAGAUACUGUAGAGUAGGACCACAAAUGACCUGCAAAGGACAUAGUGUGAGCAAGAAAUACACCUUUGGGCCACGUGUGGUGAUUCAUGCCUGUAAUCCCAGCACUUUGGGAGGCUAAAGCAGGAGGACUGAUUGAGCCCAGGAGUUCCAGCCUGGGCAACAUAGUGGGACUUCAUUUCUUUUUUUUUUUUUUUAGACGAAGUUUCACCCUUGUUGCCUAGGCUGGAGUGCAGUGGCGCGAUCUUGGCUGACUGCAACCUCCGCCUCCCAGGUUCAAGCGAUUCUCCCAUCUCAGCCUCCUGAGUAGCUGGGAUUACAGGCGUGUGCCACCACGCCUGGCAAUUUUUGUAUUUUUAGUAGAAAUGGGGCUUCACCAUGUUGGCCAGGCUGGUCUCAAACUCCUGACCUCAGGUGAUCCACUUGCCUCAACCUUCCAAAGUGCUGGGAUUACAGGUGUGAGCCACCGCGCCCAGCCCAAUGGGACUUCAUUUCUACAAAAAUUAGAAAAAUUUGCCUGACAAGGUGGUGUCUGCCUAUAGUCGCAGCUACUCAGGAGGUUGAGGCGGGAGGACUGCUUGAGCCCAGGAGUUUGAGGCUGCAGUGAACCAUGAUGGUGCUGCACUCUAGCCCAGGUGAUAAAGACCCCUUCUUUAAAAAAAAAAAAAAACAAAAAAACAAAAAACACCUUUGUUGUAGUAAGCCACUGAGAUUUGAGAAGUUUGUUUGUGCAGCAUAACUUAACCACACUGAUUCCUAUAGACCCCAUAAUUUGUUUAAGCAACUCUUAUUGCAGGACUUUGUUACUACCAAGCAGAUACAAUUCUAAGUGAUAGGUCCCCCAUAAGAGAUGACCCCAUUGCCACUGUCCCUGAAAGGGCCUAAGACAGAGCUAAUGAAAGCUAGCCAGGCAUGGUGGCACAUGCCUGUAGUCCCAGCUACUCAGGAGGCUGAGAUGGAGCUGGUCCGAGUGUUGUGGGUUAUUGUUAAGCUGAUUUAACAUUGUCUCCCCACACAACCAUGCUUGACUAGCAUAAAAAUAAAAAAGAAAAAUGAAAAAAACAAAAAAAAAGGAGGCUGAGAUGGGAGGACUGCUUGAGCCUGGGAGGCUGAAGCUGCAUUGAGCCAUGAUCGCACCACAGUACUCCAGCCUGGGUGACAAAGCAAGAUCAUGUUUCAAAAAAAAAAAAGAGAGAGUGAACUAAUGAGUGUUCCCAUUGGCUGCCAAGCAGGAUUUCAAGUUAUUUCCUGGCAGCCACUUCCCUCAAUGUGUCUCAUCUUAUCUCUCACCUGGCAUCCAUGCCCUCUCCUAAGCCUCUUUUGGAAACUGCUUCUCAUCUAACUCUUAACUAAGUGGCUUCUGCAAGACUGACUCAGGGGUAGGCCCUGAGGUGGAAAUGGGCUAGUCACUAGCGGGUGCCAAUGAAGACAUGAAGUGAUUUUUAUACAGUCAUCUGGCUGCUAUAUACAGUCGUCAUCAUUUUCCUCCUUAUUAUACAUACAAAGCACUUAGAACAGUGCCUGGCAUAAGGUAAAUACUAAGUAACUAUUGUUGUUGUUAUGAGAGAGGUAAGAGUGGAAACGGGCCAGGCACGGUUGCUCACGCCUGUAAUCCCAGUACUUUGGGAGGCCAAGGUGGGUGGAUCACCUGUGGUCAGGAGUUCAAGACCCACCUGGCCAACAUGGUGAAACUCCAUCUCUACUAAAAAUACAAAGAAUUGGCUGGGUGUGGUGGUGUGCACCUGUGGUCCCAGCUACUCAGGAGGCUGAGGUAGGAGAAUCACUUGAACCUGGGAGGCAGAGGUUGCAGUGAGCCGAGAUCAUACCACUGCACUCCAGCCUGGGCGGCAGAGCAAGACCCUGUCUCAAAAAAAAAAAAAAAAAAAAGAUGAUGGCAGCCUGGACUACAUGAUGACAGUGGAUGUGAUGAGAAGUAGUCUGGGAAUGUGUUUUCCUUAUUUCUUAUUUAUUUAUUUUGAGACAAGGUCUCACACGGUUGCCCAGGCUAGAGUACAGUGGCACAAUCACAGCUCACUGCAGCCUCGGCUCCUGGGAUCCAGUGAUUCUCUCACCUCACUGUCUCAUGUAGCUGGAACUACAGGUGUGUACCACCACGUCCAGCUAAUUUUUUACAUUUUGUAGAGAUGGGGUUUUGCCACGUUGCCCAGGCUGGUCUCAAAUUGCUGGGCUCAAGCGAUCCUCCUGCCUCGACUUCCCAAAGUGCUGGGAUUACAGGUGUGAGCCACCACGCCCAGCCUAUCUUUCCUUAUUUGUUAAUGAUUUAUUUAGGAAUUUCUCAUUUGUGUUUAUAACUGUCUUGUCAAGGUGUUAGAGAUUUUGUUGUGGUUGUUGCAGGAUGGAGAAAUGUCUUGAGGGUAGAGCCAAAGGGUGGGUUAAUGGACUAGCGGUGAAUGAAAAGGAAGGAUCAUGGGUAACUCCCAGGUCACGUACUCAGUUCCUCAAUGUUUGAUCCCUCACCUAUCCAUGAGCUCUGUCAUGGCAGAAACAAGAUCUGUCAGGAUUCUUUGUGUCCAGCAGGGGCUUACUUGCUUCUCCAAGAAAUACUCAAAAAGUUGCUGAAUUAAUCAAUGUUGCCAGAGUCAUACACAGGCUUAAAGUCCCUUUGGCCCUACACCAGGGUCCCUCAAAGGAUCCGUGACACAUGGACUGCUGGCUUUCCUGGAGAGCCCAUCUGAAAGGCAUUCACCAAAUCCACCCAACGAAUCUUUACUAAGAACCUACUAUGUGCCAGGCAAUAUUCUAGAGGUUGGAGACACAAACAGGAGGAAAGAAGAAAGACAAAGAAAGACAAAACCUCUGGCUUGAUUGAACUGAUAUUCUAGUGGGGGAGAUAAUGAAUGAAUACAUCGAAAACGCAAUAUGCAGACAGUGAUGUGUUAAAGAGAAAAAUAAAGCAGGAGACAGAGAGAAUCGUGUGUGUGUUUGGGUGUCAGUUACAGUUUUCCAUAGGGUGGUAGUCAUAAAGGCAAGAACUUUGAAAUCAGAGGGAAUCACACAGGCAAAGUCCCCAGGGCAGCAACAUGCCUGCCACACUACAGGAACAUGAAGUAGGCCAGUGUCACUGGUGUGAAGGGCAGGAGGAAAGAGAUGAGGUCACACUGGUAUCAGGGAACCAGCUCUGUAGGACUUUGCAGGCCUGCUUUCUACCUGUUCCAGCCUCACUUUAUUUUUUAUAGUGAGGUGGGAGUCACGGAAGGGAUCUGGGCAGAGGAGGGCGCUGAUCUGACUCAGGUGUUCACAGGCUCCCUCUGGCUGCAAGCAGGGAACAGACUGGGGGUGACGGUGGGAGCAGGGAGACCAAUGAAGAGGCUGCUAAAAUAGUCCAGUCUGGAGGUGAUAAUUGCCAGGAGCAGGAUGCAGGAAGAGGAGAGGGUUAGAAGUGAUCAAAUUCUGGACAGUUUGUAAAGGGAGAGCCAACUGGAUUUGCUGAGGGACUGGAUGAGGAAUGUGUCCUAGCCCACUUAGGCUAAGACCACCAGGGACAAACCUGUAGUCCAGCACUGUCAGAUUUAUUUACAAUGGCAAUGGGAGAGUCUGCACACUAGAGAUACCAUAGGCCAGGGGUCCCCAACUCCCAGGCUACAGACGGGUACCAGUCUAUGGCCUGUUAGGAAUAGGGCCACACAGCAGGAGGUGAGUGGCAGGCAGGUGAGCGAGUGAGAGAAGCUUCAUCUGUAUUUACAGCCACUCCCCACUGCUCGCAUUACCACCUGAGUUCCGCCUCCUGUCAGAGCAGCAGCAGCAUUAGAUUCUCACAAGAGUGUGAAUCCUAUUCUGAACUGUGCAUGUGAGAGAUCUAGGUUGCCCUCCAUUUUUUUUUUGUUUGUUUGUUUUUUGGGUUUUUUGGUUUUUUUUUUAGAUGAAGUCUCACUCUGUCGCCAGGCUGGAGUGCAGUGGCGCAAUCUCGGCUCACUGCAACCUCUGCCUCCUGGGUUCAAGUGAUCCUCCUGCCUCAGCCUCCCAAGUAGCUGGGAUUACAGGCAUGUGCCACCACACCUAGCUAAUUUUUGUAUUUUUAGUAGAGACAAGGUUUCGCCAUGUUGGCCAGGAUGGUCUCGAUCUCCUGACCUCGUGAUCUGCCCGCCUUGGCCUCCCAAAGUGCUGGGAUUACAGGCAUGAGCCACUGUGCCUGGCCAGUUGCCCGCUUUUUAUGAGAAUCUAAUGCCUGAUGAUCUGAAGCGUUUCAUCCCAAAACCAUUCCCCCAACCCUAUCCCAUCCGUGGAAAAACUGUCUUCCACAAAACCAGUCCCUGGUGCCAUAAGGGUUGGGGACCACUGCCAUAGGCCCUAUGGGCCUUUGUUUUGUGAGGGAGUCUCAACAAACAGAGUUAUUUUUUAGGUGAAAUGUAAACUAAGCAGUGUUCAGAUUGCCUCAAAGCAAAUCAGAACUGUGUGUAAAGGGAUCAAUAUCAGGUCCGGAUGGUGAAGUGGGCCCAGGGUUUGUCUUCUCAGAUGCAAUAAAGUUUACAUAGAUGUAGAAUAUUGUGUCCUUAUCUGAAGCUCCAAACCUGGAUUGUAAAUAGGGACUGCUUUUCUGUGUCAAAGUGACUUAGCUCCUCCAAGCAAAAGUGAGAUGUUUCAUUCUUACUUGAUGUGAUUUCAAACAGCAAAGUUUGUGAUCAUCUCUGACUUUAGACAACCAAAGUUUCCUACUAAGAAAGCAGUAGACACUCAAAGGAUGGGAAUUCUGCCACUUUACAUCUGCAGUAUGUCCAAGAGAAAUAUUUUUUCCUGGCUGGGUGCAGUGGCUCACGCCUGUAAUCCAAGCACUUUGGGAGGCCGAGGCAGGAGGACUGCUUGUGCCCAGGAGUUUGAGACUAGACUGGACAACAUAGGGUGAUCCCAUCUCUCUCUUUAAAAACAAAAUUUUUUUUUUUGAGACGGAGUCUCACUCUUGUUGCCCACGCUGGAUUGCAGUGGCCUCAUCUUGGCUCACUGCAACCUCUGCCUUCUGGAUUCAUGCGAUUCUCCUGCCUCAGCCCACGGAGUAGCUGGAAUUACACGCAUGAGCCACCACGCCCAUCUAAUUUUUGUAUUUUUAGUAGACACGGGGUUUCACCAUGUUGGCCAGGCUGGUCUCGAACUCCUGACCUCAGGUGAUCUGCCCGCCUCGGCCUCCCAAAGUGCUGGGAUUACAGGCGUGAGCCACCAAGCCUGGCAAAAAAAAAAAAAAAAAAAAAAAAAAAAAAAAAUUUAAAUUAUCCAGGCAUGGUGGCGCGUGCCUCUGGUCCCAGCUACUUGGUAGGGUGAGGUGGGAGGAUCACUUGAGCCCGGGAGGUCGAGGUUGCAGUGAGCUGUGAUCGUUCCACUGCAUUCCAGCCUGGGCGACAAAGCGAUCUUGUCUCAAAAAAAAAAAAAAAAAAAAGCAAAGAAAUGUUUUUUCCUAGUAAUUCUUCCACCAACUGGCUUAUGUCAGCCAGAUAAAUAAGGAGACAGAUCUUUUACAGUCGAAGCUAAUUCUGACUUUCCCAAGUAUGACGAAAGAGGUAAGGAUGACAUUUUUUAAACCUAAGCAACAAGAAGAAUGAAGCACGCUACUAAGAUAAGACAGACUGGAAGGUUUUGGGGAGACACGAUCGCAAGCUCAGUUUCGGAUGCUCUGAGUUUCAGAUGGCUCAAAUGCGUGGGGAGGGCAAGUGGGCAUCUGCAGGCUCUCUAACAGCCUGCACCGACUUCACUUCUUACAUCCCUUUCACUCUUCGGCUCGCUUCGCUCGCUAUCUGUAGUCAAUCGUCUACUCCUGUUUCCCACGCCUGCACCUUUGUAUGUGCAAUGGACACUGCCAGGAAGGCCAUCUCCUCAUGGUUUAACCCCACUUCCUAACACCCUCAAGCAAGACCAGAAGCCCCGCACAGCAGCACUAAUGCUCGGGCCCCACCCCUCUCAGGGUCCCGCCUCCCUCAAGCCCCGCCCCGCGCUGCGCUCACUUGUAGAAGCUCACAGGGCGGUUGUCUGCACCCAGGCGGCCCGCAGUGUUGGAGCAGUUCGGCGCCCUG